AGAGUUUGAUCCUGGCUCAGGACGAACGCUGGCGGCGUGCCUAACACAUGCAAGUCGAGCGAUGAAAUCCCUUCGGGGAUGGAUUAGCGGCGGACGGGUGAGUAACACGUGGGUAACCUGCCUCAAAGAGGGGGAUAGCCUCCCGAAAGGGAGAUUAAUACCGCAUAACAUUAGUUUUUCACAUGAAGAAUUAAUUAAAGGAGUAAUCCGCUUUGAGAUGGACCCGCGGCGCAUUAGCUAGUUGGUGAGGUAACGGCUCACCAAGGCGACGAUGCGUAGCCGACCUGAGAGGGUGAUCGGCCACAUUGGAACUGAGACACGGUCCAGACUCCUACGGGAGGCAGCAGUGGGGAAUAUUGCACAAUGGGCGAAAGCCUGAUGCAGCAACGCCGCGUGAGUGAUGAAGGCCUUCGGGUUGUAAAGCUCUGUCUUUGGGGACGAUAAUGACGGUACCCAAGGAGGAAGCCACGGCUAACUACGUGCCAGCAGCCGCGGUAAUACGUAGGUGGCAAGUGUUGUCCGGAUUUACUGGGCGUAAAGGAUGCGUAGGCGGAUGUUUAAGUGAGAUGUGAAAUACCCGGGCUUAACUUGGGUGCUGCAUUUCAAACUGGAUAUCUAGAGUGCGGGAGAGGAGAAUGGAAUUCCUAGUGUAGCGGUGAAAUGCGUAGAGAUUAGGAAGAACACCAGUGGCGAAGGCGAUUCUCUGGACCGUAACUGACGCUGAGGCAUGAAAGCGUGGGUAGCAAACAGGAUUAGAUACCCUGGUAGUCCACGCCGUAAACGAUGAGUACUAUGUGUAGGAGGUAUCGACUCCUUCUGUGCCGCAGUUAACACAAUAAGUACUCCGCCUGGAAAGUACGAUCGCAAGAUUAAAACUCAAAUGAAUUGACGGAAUCUGACGGAAUCUC
rnacentral:rRNA from 1 species